ensembl:lncRNA
GGCACCAGCUGCGGGACCCACAGCCUCGCUACGGUGUGUAACAGGCCAAUGCCUGGUGAAUGUACUCUGGAGAAGGGGGGUCGGUGGUGGUGGUGUUCGCAUCGUCGCUUCUACUCGUCGACUCAGCAGCGGUUACCGCAGAUACACGGAUGUUUUCCUACCUUAAAGCCGGAAUCACACGUCCAUCGCUAACAUCCCUGGCUGGCUGAUUCCGGUCCGUGUUUCUGUCCGCCAGUUAUGCGUGAGUAGCGAGUAGUAUAUCCCGUUGGAAAACACUGGAGGAGGUUAGCACUGCGCAUUCGACUCUCACCUACGCUGCGAGUAAAGGAGAGGGGCGUGUGACGUCGGGACGAAGAGAUGGAUGCUGUGGGGAGUGAAGCGUCCGUGAGGAGGGGGUGAGGGUAAAAAGAAGAGCAGCAGCCGAUUCCUCCGCCAAUCAGAG